rnacentral:rRNA from 1 species
AUUGAACGCUGGCGGCAUGCCUAACACAUGCAAGUCGAACGGGGCAGCAAUGCCUAGUGGCGGACGGGUGAGGAAUACGUAGGAAUCUGCCCUUAAGUGGGGGAUAACCAGGGGAAACCCUGACUAAUACCGCAUGAUCUCUUCGGAGCAAAGAGGGGGACCGCAAGGCCUCUCGCUUCUGGAUGAGCCUACGUCUGAUUAGCUAGUUGGUAGGGUAAAGGCCUACCAAGGCGACGAUCAGUAACUGGUCUGAGAGGAUGAUCAGUCACACCGGAACUGAGACACGGUCCGGACUCCUACGGGAGGCAGCAGUGGGGAAUUUUGGACAAUGGGGGCAACCCUGAUCCAGCCAUGCCGCGUGAGUGAAGAAGGCCUUCGGGUUGUAAAGCUCUUUCGGCCGGGAAAAAAUCGCAUGGAUUAAUACUCUGUGUGGAUGAUGGUACCGGAAUAAGAAGCACCGGCUAACUACGUGCCAGCAGCAGCCGCAGUAA